rnacentral:rRNA from 1 species
UACGGGGGGGGCAAGCGUUGUUCGGAAUUACUGGGCGUAAAGGGCGCGUAGGCGGCGCGGUAAGUCACUUGUGAAAUCUCUGAGCUUAACUCAGAACGGCCAAGUGAUACUGCAGUGCUAGAGUGUGGAAGGGGCAAUCGGAAUUCUUGGUGUAGCGGUGAAAUGCGUAGAUAUCAGGAGGAACACCGGUGGCGAAGGCGGGUCUCUGGGCAGUAACUGACGCUGAGGAGCGAAAGCGUGGGGAGCGAACAGG